AUUGAACGCUGGCGGCAGGCUUAACACAUGCAAGUCGAGCGGGGGAAGGUAGCUUGCUACCGGACCUAGCGGCGGACGGGUGAGUAAUGCUUAGGAAUCUGCCUAUUAGUGGGGGACAACAUCUCGAAAGGGAUGCUAAUACCGCAUACGUCCUACGGGAGAACGCAGGGGAUCUUUGGACCUUGCGCUAAUAGAUGAGCCUAAGUCGGAUUAGCUAGUUGGUGGGGUAAAGGCCUACGAAGGCGACGAUCGGUAGCGGGUCUGAGAGGAUGAUCCGCCACACUGGGACUGAGACACGGCCCAGACUCCUACGGGAGGCAGCAGUGGGGAAUAUUGGACAAUGGGGGGAACCCUGAUCCAGCCAUGCCGCGUGUGUGAAGAAGGCCUUAUGGUUGUAAAGCACUUUAAGCGAGGAGGAGGCUACUUUAGUUAAUACCUAGGGAUAGUGGACGUUACUCGCAGAAUAAGCACCGGCUAACUCUGUGCCAGCAGCCGCAGUAA
rnacentral:rRNA from 1 species